rnacentral:rRNA from 1 species
GACGAACGCUGGCGGCGUGCUUAACACAUGCAAGUCGAGGGGGUGUGUCCUUUCGGGGGCGCACCACCGGCGAACGGGUGCGUAACACGUGAGCGACCUGCCCUGGAGUGGGGGAUAGCCGGCCCAACGGCCGGGUAAUACCGCAUGCGUUCCCGCGGGGGGCACGUCCCCGGGGGAAGAAAGCCGUGCUUGCACGGCGCUCGAGGAGGGGCUCGCGGCCUAUCAGCUAGUUGGCGGUGUGACGGACCACCAAGGCGACGACGGGUAGCUGGUCUGGGAGGAUGGCCAGCCACAUUGGGACUGAGAGACGGCCCAGACUCCUACGGGAGGCAGCAGUGGGGAAUCUUGCGCAAUGGCCGAAAGGCUGACGCAGCGACGCCGCGU